rnacentral:rRNA from 1 species
AUUGAACGCUGGCGGCAUGCCUUACACAUGCAAGUCGAACGGUAACAGGCCGCAAGGUGCUGACGAGUGGCGAACGGGUGAGUAAUGCAUCGGAACGUGCCCAGUCGUGGGGGAUAACGCAGCGAAGCUGCGCUAAUACCGCAUACGAUCUAUGGAUGAAAGCGGGGGACCGUAAGGCCUCGCGCGAUUGGAGCGGCCGAUGUCAGAUUAGGGAGUUGGUGGGGAAAAGGCUCACCAAGCCAACGAUCUGUAGCUGGUCUGAGAGGACGACCAGCCACACUGGGACUGAGACACGGCCCAGACUCCUACGGGAGGCAGCAGUGGGGAAUUUUGGACAAUGGGCGCAAGCCUGAUCCAGCAAUGCCGCGUGCAGGAAGAAGGCCUUCGGGUUGUAAACUGCUUUUGUACGGAACGAAACGGUCCUGGUUAAUACCUGGGGCUAAUGACGGUACCGUAAGAAUAAGCACCGGCUAACUACGUGCCAGCCGCCGCCGUAAUAC